rnacentral:rRNA from 1 species
UACGUAGGGUGCAAGCGUUGUCCGGAAUUAUUGGGCGUAAAGAGCUCGUAGGCGGUUUGUCGCGUCUGCUGUGAAAAACUCGGGGCUUAACUCCGGGCCUGCAGUGGGUACGGGCAGACUAGAGUGCGGUAGGGGAGACUGGAAUUCCUGGUGUAGCGGUGAAAUGCGCAGAUAUCAGGAGGAACACCGGUGGCGAAGGCGGGUCUCUGGGCCGUAACUGACGCUGAGGAGCGAAAGCGUGGGGAGCGAACAGGA